ACCCGCUGAACUUAAGCAUAUCAAUAAGCGGAGGAAAAGAAACCAACAGGGAUUGCCUUAGUAACGGCGAGUGAAGCGGCAAAAGCUCAAAUUUGAAAUCUGGCACCUUCGGUGUCCGAGUUGUAAUUUGAAGAAGGUAACUUUGGAGUCAGCUCUUGUCUAUGUUCCUUGGAACAGGACGUCACAGAGGGUGAGAAUCCCGUGCGAUGAGAUGUCUGAUUCUAUGUAAAGUGCUUUCGAAGAGUCGAGUUGUUUGGGAAUGCAGCUCUAAGUGGGUGGUAAAUUCCAUCUAAAGCUAAAUAUUGGCGAGAGACCGAUAGCGAACAAGUACAGUGAUGGAAAGAUGAAAAGAACUUUGAAAAGAGAGUGAAAAAGUACGUGAAAUUGUUGAAAGGGAAGGGUUUGAGAUCAGACUUGGUAUUUUGUAUGUCUUGCUUUCGGGUGGGGCCUCUACAGUUUACUGGGCCAGCAUCGGUUUGGACGGUAGGAUAAUGACAUUGGAAUGUGGCACCACUUCGGUGGUGUGUUAUAGACUUUGUUGAUACUGCCUGUCUAGACCGAGGACUGC
rnacentral:rRNA from 2 species